rnacentral:rRNA from 1 species
UAGUCCACGCCGUAAACGAUGAUCACUCGCUGUUUGCCCGUUAGGGUAAGUGGCCAAGUUAAAGCAUUAAGUGAUCCACCUGGGGAGUACGUUGGCAACAAUGAAACUCAAAGGAAUUGACGGGGGCCCGCACAAGCGGUGGAACAUGUGGUUUAAUUCGAUGAUACGCGAGGAACCUUACCUGGGUUUAAAUGCAGGACGAAAGUCACGUGAAAGCGAGACCCUCCUUCGGGACGUCCUACAAGGUGCUGCAUGGUUGUCGUCAGCUCGUGCCGUGAGGUGUCGGGUUAAGUCCCAUAACGAGCGCAACCCUUAUCGUUAGUUACCAGCGGAUCAUGCCGGGGACUCUAACGAGACUGCCACCGUAAGGUGAGAGGAAGGUGGGGAUGACGUCAAAUCAGCACGGCCCUUAUAUCCAGGGCUACACACGUGUUACAAUGGUCGGUACAAAGGGCAGCUACCUGGCAACAGGAUGCUAAUCUCUAAAACCGGUCUCAGUUCGGAUCGAAGUCUGCAACUCGACUUCG